rnacentral:lncRNA from 1 species
AUGUCCAUGGUGUUUGGCGGCUCCAAGCUAAUGCUUGCGAUGGAGCCUGAGCGACGAGUAGGGAGCUCGCCAGGCACUCCUGCAAUGCUGUGUACAUCAAUGUAUAUUGUGUGUACACCAAUCCCUCUGCUGUUAGGUGCCUUCCUUCUCAGUGCUUCCUUGGACUGCAUCGCUGUCCUCUCACACCGAGGAGGGCUGCCGCUCACCUUCCUGCUCCUGGACUUCUUCCUGCCACACAAGCUGGCUGUCAGAGUGCCUAGAAGCUCAGAGAGUGGUGGGCCAGCUGCAGGGGUUCUAUUUUAUAGGGCCUGGAGCAAAGGCGGGGCAGUGGUGGCCACUGUGACCUCAGCAAGCCUCUGUGAUGGAGUGGCCCACACGUGGCCAAAGGUGGCUGUGUUGGGAGCAGCCUGGAAGAUGUCCUCACGUGGAAGAAGGCUUCUCUCCUUCCAAAGCGGAGAGCGGUGCAGUCCCUGCAAGCGUGGAGUCAGAGAGGAAGGAUGUACUCUGCACAGUGGGCAAGACUUUUUGAAGUAACCAGAACAGCAACAACAAAAUUAAUGAAGGAUUGCUCAGAAAAUUGCAGUCUUGACUGGGGCGAUAUGUGUCACUUGUACUCAUGGACAGAAAAAAAACAGAAAGAGAAAGAGGUAAAUUCUGCAGAUGAACCAGUACAAUGGCAAAUAAUGGAAGAAAAGAGAAGAGAAGCCACAGAACAGAGGCCAGUGCACAAUGUACAGGGUGAUGGAUACAGCAUCUGGUAUGAUCUCAGGAAAAACAAAAAUAAAUACCUAUAUAUAACACCCGAAGUAUUAGUG